rnacentral:rRNA from 1 species
CCCUUAGACGUUCUGGGCCGCACGCGCGCUACACUGACCAGUGCAACAAGCAUCCGUCCUUGGCCGACAGGCCCGGGCAAUCUUUGAACGCUGGUCGUGAUGGGGAUAGACUUUUGCAAUUUUUGGUCUUCAACGAGGAAUUCCUAGUAAACGCAAGUCAUCAACUUGCAUUGAUUACUUCCCUGCCCUUUGUACACACCGCCCGUCGCACCUACCGAUUGAAUGGUCCGGUGAAGCCUCCGGAUUGGCGCGCACCUCGGUGCCGCCGAGAAGUUGGCUAAACCUUACCAUUUAGAGGAAGGUGAANUCGUANCA